rnacentral:rRNA from 1 species
UACGGAGGGAGCUAGCGUUGUUCGGAAUCACUGGGCGUAAAGCGCACGUAGGCGGAUCUUUUAAGUCAGGGGUGAAAUCCCUCGGCUCAACCGGGGAACUGCGUCUGAUACUGGGGUGGCUUGAAUCCGGGAGAGGGAUGCGGAAUUCCAGGUGUAGCGGUGAAAUGCGUAGAUAUCAGGAGGAACACCGGUGGCGAAGGCGGGUCUCUGGGCCGAUACUGACGCUGAGGAGCGAAAGCGUGGGGAGCGAACAGG